rnacentral:rRNA from 1 species
AGGACGAACGCUGGCGGCGUGCUUAACGCAUGCAAGUCGAGCGGUAAGGCCUUUCGGGGUACACGAGCGGCGAACGGGUGAGUAACACGUGGGUGAUCUGCCCUGCACUUCGGGAUAAGCCUGGGAAACUGGGUCUAAUACCGGAUAUGACCUCCUAUCGCAUGGGUGGGUGGUGGAAAGUAUUUAUCGGGUGCAGGGAGUCGGGGCCCGCGGCCUUAUCCGAGUCUUUGGUUGGGUGGGGUAAUCGGACCUACCGAAGGGCGACGGACGGUACGCCGACCGUGAGGAGGGUCGACCGGCCACGACGUGGGACUGACGACACCGGCCCAGACCGUCCGUACGGGGA